rnacentral:rRNA from 1 species
UACAGAGGGUGCGAGCGUUGUUCGGAAUUAUUGGGCGUAAAGGGCGCGUAGGCGGUGCCACAAGUCACUUGUGAAAUCCCCGGGCUUAACUCGGGGCCUGCAGGCGAAACUGUGGUGCUGGAGUAUGGGAGAGGUGCGUGGAAUUCCCGGUGUAGCGGUGAAAUGCGUAGAUAUCGGGAGGAACGCCUGUGGCGAAAGCGGCGCACUGGACCAUAACUGACGCUGAGGCGCGAAAGCCAGGGGAGCAAACGGG